rnacentral:rRNA from 1 species
AGUUUGAUCCUGGCUCAGAUUGAACGCUGGCGGAAUGCUUUACACAUGCAAGUCGAACGGCAGCACGGACUUCGGUCUGGUGGCGAGUGGCGAACGGGUGAGUAAUAUAUCGGAACGUGCCCAGUCGUGGGGGAUAACGUAGUGAAAAUUACGCUAAUACCGCAUACGAUCUAAGGAUGAAAGCGGGGGAUCGCAAGACCUCGCGCGAUUGGAGCGGCCGAUAUCAGAUUAGGUAGUUGGUGAGGUAAAGGCUCACCAAGCCAACGAUCUGUAGCUGGUCUGAGAGGACGACCAGCCACACUGGAACUGAGACACGGUCCAGACUCCUACGGGAGGCAGCAGUGGGGAAUUUUGGACAAUGGACGCAAGUCUGAUCCAGCCAUUCCGCGUGCAGGACGAAGGCCUUCGGGUUGUAAACUGCUUUUGUACAGAACGAAAAGGUCUCUAUUAAUACUAGGGGCUCAUGACGGUACUGUAAGAAUAAGCACCGGCUAACUACGUGCCAGCAGCCGCGGUAAUACGUAGGGUGCAAGCGUUAAUCGGAAUUACUGGGCACAAGCGGUGGAUGAUGUGGUUUAAUUCGAUGCAACGCGAAAAACCUUACCCACCUUUGACAUGUAUGGAAGCCUUUAGAGAUAGAGGCGUGCUCGAAAGAGAGCCAUAACACAGGUGCUGCAUGGCUGUCGUCAGCUCGUGUCGUGAGAUGUUGGGUUAAGUCCCGCAACGAGCGCAACCCUUGUCAUUAGUUGCUACAUUUAGUUGGGCACUCUAAUGAGACUGCCGGUGACAAACCGGAGGAAGGUGGGGAUGACGUCAAGUCCUCAUGGCCCUUAUAGGUGGGGCUACACACGUCAUACAAUGGCUGGUACAAAGGGUUGCCAACCCGCGAGGGGGAGCUAAUCCCGUAAAACCAGUCGUAGUCCGGAUCGCAGUCUGCAACUCGACUGCGUGAAGUCGGAAUCGCUAGUAAUCGUGGAUCAGAAUGUCACGGUGAAUACGUUCCCGGGUCUUGUACACACCGCCCGUCACACCAUGGGAGCGGGUUCUGCCAGAAGUAGUUAGCCUAACCGUAAGGAGGGCGAUUACCACGGCAGGGUUCGUGACUGGGGUGAAGUCGUAACAAGGUAGC